GUUACCAUAUUGCCCAGGCUGGUUUCAAACUUCUGGGCUCAAGCAGUCCUCCCACCUUGGCCUCUCAAAGUGCUGGGAUUAUAGUCAUCAGCUACCACACCCAGCCUAUUUCAAGAAAUUUUUCAGUUUCCUUCUGAAUUUCUUCAUUGGCACACUUGUCAUUCCAGAGCAUGUUGUUUAAUUUCCAUAUGUUUGUAUAGUUUCCAAAGUUCCUCUGGUUAUUGGUUUCUAGUUUUAUUCUAUUCUAUUAUGGUCAGAGAAGAUACUUGAAUCAGAUUUCAAUUUUGGGGGAUUUUUUAAGACUUAUUUUGUGGCCUAACAUGUGGUCUAUCCUUGAGAAUAAUCCAUGUGCUGAGGAGAAGAAUGUGUAUUCUGCAGCUGUUGGAUGAAAUGCUCUAUAAAUAUAGGUCCAUUUGGUGUAUAGUGCAGAUUAAGUCUGAUGUUUCUUUGUUGAUUCUCUGUCUGGGAGAUCUGUCCAAUGCUGUAAAUGGGGUGUCGAGUCUCCAGCUAUUGUUGUAUUGGGUUCUAUCUCUCUCUUUAGCUCUAACAAUAUUUGCUUUAUAUAUCUAGGUUCUCCAGUGUUGGGGACAUAUAUAUGUGUGUGUAUAUAUGGGAAGAUGAAGAAGCUCUGGAGAUGGAUGUUGUGAUAGUGGCACAAUAAUAUGAAUGUACUUAAUGCCACAAAGCUUUUACACUUAAAAACAGUUUAAAUAGGGCCGGGUGCGGUGGCUCAAGCCUUUAAUCCCAGCACUUUGGGAGGCCAGGGCAGGCGGAUCACGAGGUCAAGAGUUCAAGACCAUUCUGGCUAACACGGUGAAACUCCAUCUCUACUAAAAAUACAAAAAAAAAAAUUAGGCGUGGUGGCUGGCGCCUGUGGUCCCAGCUCCUCGGGAGGCUGAGGCAGGAGAAUGGCAUGAACUAGGGAGGUGGAGUGUGCAGUGAGCUAAGAUUGCGCAACUGCACUCCAGCCUGGGCGACAGAGCAAGACUCUGUCUAAAAAAAAAACAAAAAACAAAGAACAAAAACAGUUUAAUAAAUUGUACGUUACGUAAACUAAACACAUUUUAGACAAUCUGUAAGAGAAAUGAAGGCAAUCGAGGCUGUUUUCACAAGUCCUUGGCUUUAGUAUGAUAGCUUCCAAGUUGAACCUGAUGAGCCUGACCUCCUUGUAUUAAUGUUUCCAUACGCUGGAUUGGAAUAACUUGUGCAACCAGUGGGAUAUGUCAGAAGUGACCAGAAAUGAGUGGGCUGCCAUGUUGUGAGGACACUCACAGCCUGUGAAGAGGUCUAAUGAUGAGGAAGUGAGGCCUCCAGCCAACAGCCAGUGUUAACUUGCCAACCAUGUGAGAAGCUACCUUGGAAGGAGAUCCUCCAGCAGCCCCUCUCAUGAGAGAGGUCAAGCCAGAGCUAACCUGCUAAACUCCUAAAUUCCUGAACCACAGAAACUGUGAGAUAAUGGUUAUUGUUUUAAGCCAUUAUGUUUUGAGGCCAUAUGUUAUACAGGAAUUGAAAACUAAUACAGAUAGUAUGAAGGCUUCUUUCAUCAACUGCCUGAGGUUGGUGGUGUCUUCAGUCAUUUAUAUAGAUCUAUUUGUUUCUGGAUAAUAUUACAGCUAUUUAAAGAUAUUUUGUGGCUCUAUUUAGAUACAGCUACAUUCGCCUUUAUAUGUUUUGAAUACCCAGUAAGUAACUUGAAAAUAUUUCCUGAUAUUGGAGGGAGGGGCAUUGCUGAAUUUCAGAAAGUUAAGGCUAGUAAGAGCUAUGACUAAUAUAAUACAUCUUGUUGGAUACUGUGAAUGCUUUUCAUUUAAUUCUGUAGGUAAAGGAAAUAGAAUCUGAAGGAAGGCCAGUGUUUUAAGUCUUCUUACUCUAACGUGAAUGAAUUCAUUAGACAUAUUUAUAUUUUAAAAAAAAGAGGAAGCAAAAUAAAAUAAGGGGGCAAAAUAAGCAAAGCCAACUUAAGAAUUUUUUAAGGGCCAAAUCCAGUUAUCUUGGCUCUGUAUGUGUGUACCUACCUAAAAUUCUAAUCUCUGUAUCUGUGAGUCUCCAGUUUUUCAACCCAAGCUUGACGAGUUGUGGGACCUCCUCCAAAUGUUUCAACAGGCUGCUCAGGCUGCCUUGCACGUCACAGCCCCAGGGCAGCAUCAGUGCGGUGAGCUGUUCUAGCACGUUCAUCCUGUCGACUGGAAGAAACAAAGAGCAGUUCAGGGACUGGAUGGUCUCAAAACUGAGGAAGAACAAAGGGGUGUUAGGGGAGGAAUGAUCUUUAUGUUUGGUGGCUCUGCAGCCUACUCAAUCUGUAAUGAGAAUCUACUUAAUUUUUGGUUUUUUUUUGGAAAGUAUUCAAGCAUAUACAAACAUUAUGCAGAAGAAUAUAAUGAAACUAUAUAUACUAAUAAGACACCUUCAAAAACAUUAAAUCAUGGGCAAUCUUGCUUAAUCCUGACCUAAUUCCUCCUGUAUUAUUCUAAAGCAAAUCAUGGACAAUAUGAAUCAGUUCUUUCCUUUUUUUUCUUUUAACCAUAAUCACAUAUCACUAUCACACCUAAAAAAUCAUAUCACCAAUUCCUUAAGCAAAUUUGUCUUGCACAUCGGCUACUCUUGACAGUUGCCUCUUCAAAGGAGGAAAGCAGGUGGGAUACCGCCUCAAAGUGCAGUGAGCAUAUGUAAACUGGUGACUUAAAAGACAUGGGCCUGUGUUCCUUAAGGGCAGUUUAAGAAAGGCCUAAAUGAUUUUCCUAAGGAGGGUGCAUCUAGUAAGGCACACAUGGGUAUAAAAGACCUCAGGACCCAGGCUAUGUAUUUCGACUACCCAGUAUACAUAUUCAAGUAUCUAAUUUUGGCUGAAUUGUCAUUCUUACUCAGUUCAUGAAGAGCUUCAUUUCCAUCUUUUUCCAGGUAAUUUUCUGAUAAAUCAAGAAUGCUCAGUUUGACCAAAUUGUGAAGAUUCUGAGCUGGGGAAAAAAAGUAAUCCAAAAUAAAAAGAUUUUCAGAGACGGGGUUUCACCAUUUUGGUCAGACUGGUCUCGAACUCCUGACCUUGUGAUCCACCUGCCUUGGCUUCCCAAAGUGCUGGGAUUACAGGCGUGAGCCACCGUGCCCGGCCUCUGCAAAGCAUUUCUAACCCCAGAGUUAUUGAUGAGCAAGAUGUUUUGCUUUGGUGAAGAAGUAAGAUAUGUUCCAUUUAAGGCUCUGAAGAUGGGGAGAGAAUUCUGGAUGAUCCAGGUGGGCCCUUAAUAAUGGUCCCUUAUUACAGAGAGCCAGAGGGAGAUUUGAAACUGACAGGAGAAGUCAGUAAGACCAUGAAUGCAGAGAUUCGAGUAAUACGGCUACGAGCCAAAAGAUGCCAGCAGCCACCUGCAGCUGGAAGAGGCAUAAAUGGAUUCUCCCCUAAAGCUCCCAGGAGUGUGGCCCUGCUGACACCCUGAUUUCAGCCCCAUGAUACUGAUGUUGGACUGGUCCUCAGA
ensembl:lncRNA novel transcript, antisense to NLRC4